GCCAGGGACAGAACCUGGCCCACCCCUAGAACAGGACAAGCCAGGGACAGAACCUGGCCCACCCCUAGAACAGGACAAGCCAGGGACAGAACCUGGCCCACCCCUAGAACAGGACAAGCCAGGGACAGAACCUGGCCCACCUCUAGAACACUACAAGCCCAUUUCCUACUUGUAAGCUUGGCUCCUCCGUUCAAUCACAACUGGAUCUUAUGCUCUACUCAGUGUAAGUUUUCAGUACCUGGGGGCUUCCACAAACUGAACACUGUUAAAGGUAAUCCGGGAGAGGUGAGUUGUCCAGUGGUCAGACACUGGAGGGUACUUUGUUGAUUCAGCUCCUUGGACAGCUUUAAUGCCUAGAGAAAUCCGUUUCCUCUGAGCCAAAGUCGGCCUCCCGACUGCAUCCCCGAGGCCCCACUGGUCCGUGCCGAGACGUCGAGGCCAGUCACCACCUCCUCCUCCUCCAGCCAGGCGGACCGCCAGUCCACUUCUGUAGGGGCGACACCCAGCCCGCAGGCCACACGCCCCGCGUGUGCGGCGCCUUUAUUUACUUCGCAGAAGAGCCUCCAGCCCCACCUCCUAACAAGUCUGGAAAGCAACAGGGCGACGCGAUGUUGGGGACACUGGU
rnacentral:lncRNA from 1 species